GGUGGUUCAAUGUCAACAUAUGUCAACAUUUCAGGAAAAACAUGUGGUUUGAAUAUCUGCGUUCAGGGAUGGAGGACAGAUGUGGAUUAUUCUAUUCCUACAUAUGUCUGUGGUUUGCCCUGUGCCUUUUCAUCUCGAAGUCAACAACAUUUUGAGACUUCUUUCAACAUCCUCUCCGCAGUGGCAAUGCUUGCUGUUCUUGUCGUUAUGACGGUUCU